UGUUUCCUACGGGGCGCAGCAGUGGGGGAUAUUGCACAAUGGGGGGAACCCUGAUGCAGCGACGCCGCGUGGGUGAAGGAGCGUUUCGGCGCGUAAAGCCCUAUCGGCAGGGAAGAAGAUGACGGUACCUGACCAAGAAGCCCCGGCUAACUACGUGCCAGCAGCCGCGGUAAUACGUAGGGGGCAAGCGUUAUCCGGAUUUACUGGGUGUAAAGGGGGCGCAGACGGCAAUGCAAGCCAGGAGUGAAAGCCCCGGGCCCAACCCCCGGACUGCUCUUGGAACUGCAUGGCUGGAGGACCUGCUG
rnacentral:rRNA from 1 species